UUGUUUUUGGUAGAGACGCGAGUCUUGCUAUGUUGCCCUGGCUGGUCAUGAUUUCCUGGUCCCUAGUGAUCCUCCUGCCUCAGCCUCCCAAGCACACCCCCACACCUGGCUAAUUUUUUCCUUCUGUAUCUAGUUAUUAUUUAGCUCUCUUUAUAACUGGCUUAUUUUUAUUAUUUUUUUGUAGAGAAGGGGUCUUGUUAUGUUAGCCUGCCUGGUCUUAAAAUGUGACUCUGUUGUUUUAUACAAAACACCAUCUUUUUCCAUUUGAAAACAAGUUGUAUUUUCCAGCAUAAAAUUCCAGACUUAUAGACUAUAGUAUAGUCCUUAGGACCCAUAAUGUGUCUCCAAAAACUAUUUGCCAAUGUCUGUACUUUCAGUGAUCUGUAACCUCUAGGAGUAGUGGAGAGGUUAAGCAACUUGUCCAGGGUUAGCCAGCUAGGAUGUGGUGGAACUGAAAACUGACCUUUGCCUGUCUAUUUCAGAAGCCAGUGUUUCUAGCCCCCAUGUUACAGUGACUAUUCUUAUAAGGUCUGGGAAUGGAAGAUGAAUGAAUGGAAGAUGAAUGGUUUAUCCCCCAGUUUUCUCUGAGGCAAACAUAAUUAUACUUCCUCCUUUGUUCUUGGAGGUUUUUCUCUUCUCAUAUCCCCUCCAUUCACGAAAACAGAGUUGGGUCUAUAUUUUACCAGCUGGCUCUUGGAACUGCAUAAAUCCUGGCUGUUUUCACUUUUUAAAAAUUAUGAGAUUAACUACCAAACUUGAGCUGUAAGUUGUGGGUUAGCUCUUUACUCUGCUAGAUAACCCGGAACAAAGUAUUAACUUCUUUGAGAGCUUCCUUUUUUUCCCUUCAUUGCUGUUGUGCGUUUCUACCAGAAAAUGUGGGAAUGUGCGUGAAGGCGACCUAGCAGAGUUCCUGGCACACAGGAAGGAGCUUGUUGAACUUAUAGUUCCGGACUCCAGAACAAGGGCGGCCCAUCUUAGCCUGAGCCACUCUGACUUCGCUUUAGGAAAUACUACCUAGAUAUCUAAAGGAAAGUGAUAGCAACUGCAACCAACUGUUUUUGAGGUCUGCCUGCCCACCAGUGGCCCCCUCAGCACAUGGGAACAGUGUGUGGAAGUGCCUGGAACAGACACUGACUCAAGGGAGGUCUGUACAGAGGCAGCGUGGGUAAAGAAAUGAAUGCAGAUUCCCCAAAAAUCCAGAGGUAUAUGCAAGAGGAGGGGCACGGGUUCUUUUGAGUCACCUUCCAGGUGACCAGGUGCCUUUACAACUCUAAGGCUUUUGUGCCUUCAGCCAAAAGCAGAACUGGAAACAUCCUAAGUGGGCUGGUAACGAGGCUAGCUCUGUCGACUAGUUCAAGACCCCUGAGAGCUUUGGGCCUGAAGUUCCUCAGCUUCCAAGUGAAAGGUUUCGACUUGGCAUUCUGGGAGACAGCCUCUGUGACCAUCAGUUUCCUCAUCUGUAAAACUGGCAUCAUGAUAACUUUGAAGGGUUUGGCCCCUGGGAACCAACAGGCCAAUGCGGUUGGCAAUGGCACUGCAAAGAGCUGCAGGGCCAUCUAGUGGCCAGUGGUCUUCACUGCACAUGCGAUGAUGGUUCUAUUCAGCAGUUCCCCAAAACAAAACCAGGUAACACACACCCAGGGUUUCCCCAAUGAGGAUCAACUUUUGCCACUUUCAAACAUUUUAUAAAUGUUUGACAUUUGUUUUAUAAACAUUCCUACAGCUUUGCACUUAAAAAGACUGCCUCACUGUAAAUCUGAAGAUUAACUUUCCAGCCAUUGCAAGGUGAUUUUGGGCCACUGUGUGCCAAAUCAGACAGGCCUGAGUUAGUGCUUGUUGUUGGGUGACUUUGGGCAAGUUACUCAAUCUUCCUGACUUUCCGUUUCCUCUUGUAUAUCAAAGACAGGACUGUUCUGAAGAUGAAGGCAAGUGUGCAUGUCAUGCAUGUGCUACUGUUCUUGACAAAUAAGUGUUUGCUAUGGAUUUAGCGCCUCUAGAAAGUCCAGGCAAGGGGCAGAAACCUAAUCAAACAGGCUGAAGCAAAGGCUUGCUAUACGAAACCUGAGCAACCGAGUGCAGUGACUGACGCCUGUAAUCUCAUCACUUUGGGAGGCCAACACAGAAGGAUCACUUGAAGCCAGGAGUUCAAAACCUGCCUGGUAAACAUGGAGAGACACCCAUCUCUACAAAAAAAUAAAAAAAUUAGCCAGGUGCAUCUGUAGUCUCAGCUACUCAGGAGGCUGAGGCAGAGGAUCUCUUGAACGCAAGAGUUUGAGGUUGCAAUGAGCUGUGAUUGCACCACUAUACUCCAGCCUGGGAAAUAAACAGAGACCAUGUUUAAAAGAAAGAGAGGCCGGGAGCACUGCUCAUGCCUGUAAUCCCAGCACUUUGAGAGGCCAAGGCAGGUAGAUGACUUGAGUCCAGGGGGGUUAGACCAGC